AACCGAAAGACUCCAGAGAGCAGAAGAUGGAAGGAGACUUCUCGGUGUGCAGGAACUGCAAAAGACAUGUAGCCUCUGCCCACUUCACUCUCCAUGAGGCUUACUGCCUGCGGUUCCUGGUCCUGUGUCCGGAGUGUGAGGAGCCUGUCCCCAAGGAAACCAUGGAGGAGCACUGCAAGGUUGAGCACCAGCAG
rnacentral:sRNA from 1 species